UACGUAGGGUGCAGGCGUUAAUCGGAAUUACUGGGCGUAAAGCGUGCGCAGGCGGUUUGCUAAGACAGGUGUGAAAUCCCCGGGCUUAACCUGGGAACUGCGCUUGUAACUGGCAAGCUGGAGUGUGGCAGAGGGGGGUGGAAUUCCACGUGUAGCAGUGAAAUGCGUAGAGAUGCGGAGGAACACCGAUGGCGAAGGCAGCCCCCUGGGCUAACACUGACGCCCAGGCACGAAAGCGUGGGGAGCAAACAGG
rnacentral:rRNA from 1 species